rnacentral:rRNA from 1 species
CGAGCAUUAUCCGGAUUUAUUGGGCGUAAAGGAAGCGUAGGCUGAAAUGUGUAUUCAUUGUUAAAAAUAUUUGCUUAACAAGUGUUCGCGGUGAAGAUUACAUUUCUAGAAUUAGUUAGAGGGUACUGGAAUUCAAUGUGUAGUGGUGGAAUACGUAGAUAUAUUGAGGAACACCAGAGGCUAAGGCGAGUGCCUGGAACAUAAUUGACGCUGAGGCUUGAAAGCGUGGGUAGCAAAUGGGAUUAGAUACCCCAGUAGUCCACGCCGUAAACGAUGGGUAUUAGUCAUUUGGAUUUAAGACUGAGUGAUGUAGCUAACGCGUUAAAUACCCCGCCUGGGUAGUAUAUAUGCAAAUAUGAAACUCAAAGAAAUUGACGGGGACCUGAACAAGUGGUGGAGCAUGU